rnacentral:tRNA from 1 species
GAGGGUAUAGCUCAAGUGGUAGAGCACGUAUUUAGGAUGCACAGGGUCCUGGGUUCAAUCCCCAGUACCUCCA